UCCCUUGGUUGUGCUGCUGGCGAGUGCCGAAAGACAACGACGCGACGAGAGGCAACGACGCGACGCGUUCGGCAUAGCCGAAGAAGAGUUUCGAAGGCAUUUUAGUCUCUCCAAAGACAUAGUGCGACAUCUUUGCGAUGAGCUGGAAGGACAUCUCGGACCUCAAAGAUUGCGUGGUGUCGACACUACGAUGAAAGUGCUGUGCGCGCUGCGGUUUUUUGCCACCGGGAGCUUUCAACAGUGCGUCGGGAAUGAAGAAGCGAUUGCACUGUCGUAGCCUUCGGUCAGCCGGAUCAUUACAGCCGUCGCCAAGGCCAUUACGGUUGUGGGCAAGGAAAAAGGAUGGGUUAGAUGCCCAUCCACGACGCAACAGAAAGCCGCCGUCAAGGAAGGCUUUCCUAGCCGUGGAAAAAUUCCAGGAGUUCUAGGAUGUGUGGACGGGAGUCUGAUAGCCAUCGUUCGCCCUAAGAAGCUCGGCCCCGGCGAAACGGAAUCGUACUGGAGCCGUAAAGGGUAUUACACCCUCAACUGCAUGGUCGUGUGCGACGCGAAUCUGAAUAUCCUGGAAAUUGACCCACGGUUUCCGGGAUCGUGCCACGAUUCAUUCGUCUGGAGGCAUUCUACAUUUCGCCGCCGCCUCACUCGUGGCCUGUUACUUCAUGGAGAAGUCUUGCUUGGGGACUCUGGGUACCCGCUAGCGCCAUGGAUCAUGACUCCUGUGCCUGGUCACCCAAAUCGCCUCACGGCAGAGGGGCGCUAUAAUGAGGCACACGCAUCAAUGCGAAAUGCCGUUGAGCGGUGCAUAGGAGUCGU